GGGGACAUAGCUCAGCUGGGAGAGCAACAGACUGAAGUGGACGCGUUAUUCUUGAUUUUCUGGAGGUCCCCAGUUCGAUCCUGGGUGUCCCCA